GACGAACGCUGGCGGCGUGCUUAACACAUGCAAGUCGAACGGAAAGGCCCUGCUUUUGUGGGGUGCUCGAGUGGCGAACGGGUGAGUAACACGUGAGUAACCUGCCCUUGACUCUGGGAUAACUUCAGGAAACUGGGGCUAAUACCGGAUAGGAGCUCCUGCUGCAUGGUGGGGGUUGGAAAGUUUCGGCGGUUGGGGAUGGACUCGCGGCUUAUCAGCUUGUUGGUGGGGUAGUGGCUUACCAAGGCUUUGACGGGUAGCCGGCCUGAGAGGGUGACCGGCCACAUUGGGACUGAGAUACGGCCCAGACUCCUACGGGAGGCAGCAGUGGGGAAUAUUGCACAAUGGGCGGAAGCCUGAUGCAGCAACGCCGCGUGCGGGAUGACGGCCUUCGGGUUGUAAACCGCUUUCGCCUGUGACGAAGCGUGAGUGACGGUAAUGGGUAAAGAAGCACCGGCUAACUACGUGCCAGCAGCCGCGGUGAUACGUAGGGUGCGAGCGUUGUCCGGAUUUAUUGGGCGUAAAGGGCUCGUAGGUGGUUGAUCGCGUCGGAAGUGUAAUCUUGGGGCUUAACCCUGAGCGUGCUUUCGAUACGGGUUGACUUGAGGAAGGUAGGGGAGAAUGGAAUUCCUGGUGGAGCGGUGGAAUGCGCAGAUAUCAGGAGGAACACCAGUGGCGAAGGCGGUUCUCUGGGCCUUUCCUGACGCUGAGGAGCGAAAGCGUGGGGAGCGAACAGGCUUAGAUACCCUGGUAGUCCACGCUGUAAACGGUGGGUACUAGGUGUGGGGUCCAUUCCACGGGUUCCGUGCCGUAGCUAACGCUUUAAGUACCCCGCCUGGGGAGUACGGCCGCAGGGCUAAAACUCAAAGGAAUUGACGGGGCCCCGCACAAGCGGCGGAGCAUGCGGAUUAAUUCGAUGCAACGCGUAGAACCUUACCUGGGUUUGACAUGGAUCGGGAGUGCUCAGAGAUGGGUGUGCCUCUUUUGGGGUCGGUUCACAGGUGGUGCAUGCCUGUCGUCAGCUCGUGUCGUGAGAUGUUGGGUUAAGUCCCGCAACGAGCGCAACCCUUGUUCACUGUUGCCAGCACGUUAUGGUGGGGACUCAGUGGAGACCGCCGGGGUCAACUCGGAGGAAGGUGGGGAUGACGUCAAGUCAUCAUGCCCCUUAUGUCCAGGGCUUCACGCAUGCUACAAUGGCUGGUACAGAGAGUGGCGAGCCUGUGAGGGUGAGCGAAUCUCGGAAAGCCGGUCUCAGUUCGGAUUGGGGUCUGCAACUCGACCUCAUGAAGUCGGAGUCGCUAGUAAUCGCAGAUCAGCAACGCUGCGGUGGAUACGUUCCCGGGGCU
rnacentral:rRNA from 1 species